rnacentral:rRNA from 1 species
UUAAUCAGAUCAGGGUUAGUCGGGUCCUUAGGCGCACCCGAAAGGGGAAGCUGAUGGCAAGUCGUUUAAUAUUACGACACCUGCUUAUACUUCGAUGGGGUGACGAGGUAGCGAAAGGUCCGCGUUCUUACUGAAUAGAACGUUAAAGGGUGUAGAUAUAGGCUGUGCAGGUAAAUCCGCACGGUUUGUCGAACCUGAUAGUACAACAAAGCUUCGGCAGCGUUGAUAGUGACCGUAAUCAGACCUCCGAGAAAAACCUCUAAGUUAUGGUAUAGGAGCCCGUACCGCAAACCGACACAGGUGGGUGGGAUGAAUAUUCUAAGGCGCUCGGGUGAGCCGUGGAGAAGGAACUAGGCAAAUUGACGCUGUAACUUCGGGAUAAAGCGUACCGUCUUCGGACGGUCUCAGUAAAAUGGUUCAACCAACUGUUUAGCAAAAACACAGGGCCCUGCAAAAUCGAAAGAUGACGUAUAGAGCCUGAUACCUGCCCGGUGCUGGAAGGUUAAGGAAGGAUGUUCGGCGCAAGCCAAAGCUUCUGACUGAAGCCCCAGUAAACGGCGCCGUAACGAUAACGGUCCUAAGGUAGCGAAAUUCCUUGUCGGGUAAGUUCCGACCUGCACGAAUGGUCUAAUGAGUUGAACACUGUCUCCUCCACGAGCCCGGUGAAAUUGUAGUAUCGGUGAAGAUGCCGGUUACCCGUCACGGGGCGGAAAGACCCCAUGAACCUUCACUACAACUUUGCAUUGAUUUUGAAUUUUUGAUGUGUAGGAUAGUUGGGAGACUUUGAAGUUGUGUCGCCAGGCAUGAUGGAGUCGUCGUUGAAAUACCAACCUUUAAACAUUUAGAAUCUAAUCCCUCGCGGGAAACAGUGCAUGGUGGGUAGUUUGACUGGGGUGGUCGCCUCCUAAAAUGUAACGGAGGCUUGCAAAGGUUCCCUCAGUACGGUUGGUAAUCGUACAUAGAGCGCAUUAGUAUAAGGGAGCUUGACUGUGAGGCUUACAAGCCGAUCAGGUACGAAAGUAGGCUAAAGUGAUCCGGUGGUUCUGUAUGGAAGGGCCAUCGCUCAAAGGAUAAAAGGUACUCUGGGAUAACAGGCUGAUCUUACCCAAGAGCUCAUAUCGACGGUAAGGUUUGGCACCUCGAUGUCGGUUCGUCACAUCCUGGGGCUGGAGAAGGUCCCAAGGGUUCGGCUGUUCGCCGAUUAAAGUGGCACGUGAACUGGGUUCAGAACGUCGCAAGACAGUUCGGUCCCUAUCUGUGAUGGGCACAAGUAAAUUGAGAGGACAUGACCUUAGUACGAGAGGACCGGGUCGUAUGUACCGCUGGUGUAUCAGUUGUGCCGCCAGGUGCAAUGCUGAGUAGCUACGUACAGCAAGGAUAAACGCUGAAAGCAUCUAAGCGUGAAAACUUCCUCAAGAUGAGUUUACUUUUAAGGGCCGUAGUAGACUACUACGUUGAUAGGCUACAGGUAUAAGGGUGGUAACAUCGAAGCCGAGUAGUACUAAUUACCCGUAAGCUUUAUUAA